UGUACACACCGCCCGUCGCUACUACCGAUUGAAUGGCUCAGUGAGGCCUUCGGACUGGCUCGAAGAGGUUGGCAACGACCACUUCGAGCCGGAAAGUUCGUCAAACUCGGUCAUUUAGAGGAAGUAAAAGUCGUAACAAGGUUUCCGUAGGUGAACCUGCGGAAGGAUCAUUA
rnacentral:rRNA from 1 species